GCCGCUGCUCCGGCUGCUGCCCGGCCCUUCCGCUUCCGCCGGGAACGGGCCGCGGGCUGGGGCAGCGCGGGUGCCGCUGGCGGGUUCAAAUGUGAAAGUCCAUCCGUGGGGGUUUAGUGCGGCUGAGCUGCCCUCACGGCUCUGCCCCCGGUGGGGCUCUCCGGCACCGACCCGCUCCCCGUAACUCAUCGGGCCCCCGGCACCGACCCAUCCUGUUUGUCAUCGGGUUUGCCCCGCUGAUCUCCUGUGCCCUCCCGGCCCGGUUCCCGUCGGGAAGCUCAGGCAGCCCCAGCCUCGCCGCUCCCGCCGAGCGGUGAAGCGAUAAAUGCGAUGGGCACCACACGGGGGAAGCGACAAAAGACGGCUCCGGCCCAUAAAUUCGACAAGAAGGGUUUGCAUCUCCCCGACUGCUGUUUGUCGUGGCCUCUUGAGGCCUUUUCUACUUGUAGGAAUACCGACUACACCCAGUUUUAUUUGCAGACCUAUAUAACAGGAAUCCAGGGAAAGUGAAAGGCUGAUUGCACUCGUUUUGCUUCAGCUUUUGUGCUCUAAGCUGUAUAGAGAAGUCGCACUUUCCGAGAAGGCUGGGGCUCUUCUCCUUGCAGAUGGGCAGGAAUUCAUUUCCUUGUUUGCUCGGGACCGGGACCGCAGUGAGAUUAAAGCAGCCUGUUUUGACGAAAUAAAGGAAAGUGGAAGAAAAGUGCAAGGACAAGGCAACAAUUAUAAAUAACAGGAAGCAGGAAAUGAAAGAAUGAAGGGGGAGGAAUCACUGCUGAGUUUGAUUUAUUUUUAUGAAGACCCUGGCAAUCACAUCCAUUUGAAAAUCCACAGUCUUCAAGCAAAAGAAGAUGCUUGAAUUAUGUAAAUCUCACAUACGAAAACUUUAACAUACCUCAGCCUCCAGUAAUGUAAUAGGGGAGCAAAAGAGAAAAGGUAAAGAAGACUAAAACAUUUUGUCAUCAAAAAGCAGUGGUUAUCCAAACAUAGAGUAAUAGCCUGCUAAUUUCAAAAAAUAUGCAGAGAAGAGGUAAUUUUGACCUAGAAAUAGAAUCUUCACUUGAUUCAAACAAGGAAAGAUAAUAUGUGUAUUUUAUAUUUAAUGACAUGCAGUUGUUUUCAUUAAAAUAAUUGUGCACCAGCUACUGGUGCAUAAAUGCCCCAUGGAACUUGUCAUAUUAAAUUAAAUUGUCCCCACAUGGCCAGGUCUCACUCUGACUGUGCCUCUGGUAGUGCCAUGUGUAUGUAGGAGGUUUGGUACAGUCAGGACUCAGUGGGCUUUUGGCACAUGCAGUGAUGAACUCCACAGGGCAUGUGUAGGGUGUGCCAAUGCACUGGCUUUUGAGGGCAUGCAGGGACUACCUCUGCUGUGUGCUCCAGGGGCAUGCCCAGUGUUGCCAAAUCCAUUACUAUUCCAGCUAAGUUUAUCUUAUUCUGGAAAUCUUUGAUACUCUUAUACAAAACCAUUCUCAAAUGUAUGGAAACUCAAAUGUGUGGUAAUGUUCUGAAACAGGUCCAGUUUCUUUGCCUUUCUUUUUACACACAGCAGGGCAUUUGUUUUGCACAUCAGGGGCACAUUCCCAACUAAGAUACAUGGGAGAUACUGUGAUCAAAAUGAUGGAUGUGAAAGCUAGUUUGGCUCCCAGUUUGGGUAGUUUCACUGCUCUGGCACUGCAGGGCCUGCCAGCUCCUCUUUGUUGAAAGAUGAAGUACUUAUUGUGUCCCUGUCUGAGUGGAUGGGUGCAGAGAGGCCUGCACUGGGCUCUGAUGCUCCAUGCUAAUCAGGUACAAGCUGAUCCUGUCUGGCAGCUAUUUUAGCAGAACACAAAAGCACAAUUACACUGCUGUGGGGAGAGAACUCCAUCCUUCCAGCACCUGUGGGGGUAGACAUGCCCUUUCUUUCCUGGAAAACACAAUUGUUUUCAUCUAAGUAGCAUCCUACAUCUAAAGGUUGAGAAAGACUACAGAAACCCAGGUGCUCGCUGAACAAGGAGUGGCCUCGACAACUUAUUAUUCCAAAACCCCCAAAAACUGACGUCUGGAAAGACAAGCUCAGAAAUUAAUCAAAAGUAAUGAGGCCACAGACAUAUGAAUGGAAAGGCAAUGCUUACAGCACAAACCUGGAACAGCCUGCAGAGCAUAGUGGGUAUAUUGUGCAUCUGAAAGUAAGAGAAAUGAACAUAACAAGCAUUAAAGGAGUCAGAAACCA